rnacentral:lncRNA from 1 species
AAAAAUGGAAGGAUUUAGACGAGGUAAGGGUACACCAGAUUUAGUUCUAGUAGUCAUAGGAUGAGUAUUGGUGGGGAGAGGCUGAAGGUUAGGAUCCCUAGGAGCAGAAAUAGAGGAGGAGGAUGGUGAAGUGGUAGUAGUGGGCUGAUUGUUGGCAUUUGAAGAGGGUGAAGGAGUAUGAUUAGUGCUAGCUGUUUGUGUUAUAGGGUUGGCUGACACAGAGGCAGUAGGUGUGUGGCUGGAAUUGAAUUGAGAAGAAGAAGAGGAGUGUGAGGUAGUGGAAGCAGUAGGAAUGGGAAAAACAUUAGGGAGAGCUUGUGUGUUAAGGGUUACUUUAGAUGAAGAAGAGGAUGGAAUGGUUGAUGAGGGGAGAGAAACAUUAGGA